rnacentral:tRNA from 1 species
ACAACUGUAGCUCAGUUGGUUAGAGCACUACCUUGACAUGGUAGGGUCGGUGGUUCGAAUCCACUCAGUUGUACCA